CCUCUCUCCGUAGGUCCAUAACUUUCUGAAUAAGAACCAUGAUCAGUUCCGUACAGAGGUGGUUGAGCUGUUUGCUAGGAGUAGACUGAAGAUGGUGUCAGGGCUGUUCCGUAAGGUGCAGGAUAAUUACCUGCAGCAGAGAGAGUUGGGCUGGAGGGGUAAAGGUCACAGGCAACAGCCCUCCACGGUGGCAGCACACUUCCAACAGUCCCUGACUGAGCUCACCACACGACUGGAGAGGUGUAAAACCACCUUUAUUCGAUGUUUCAAGCCAAAUUAUGUCAAG